CCAGCAUCCGCCUCAAAAGAGCUGUUUUAAGAAGAGAAUGCUCAUUUCUUGCAAAUGUGACCAAGAGCUCUGAAAUCCAGAUAUGUGCAUUGGAAAUGGAGGUUCCUCAGAUGACUGUGACAAUGUUAAGGAUCAAAGAAGCUUCUGGCACCACCCUUGGAGAGGCAUCUGUUACUGGUUGGGCUCCCAGGUGGCUCGUAUGGUAAAGAAUCUGCCUGCAAUGAAGGACCUGGGUUCGAUUCCUGGAUUGGGAAGAUCCCCUGAAGAAGGGCAUGGCAACCCACUCCAGUAUUCUUGCCUGGAGAAUUCCAUGGACAGAGGAGCAUGGUGGGCUACAGUCCAUGGGGUUACAAAGAGUCAGACAUGUCGGACCGACUAAUACUAGUGUUAUUGGUUGGAUGAAAGUUAUAUGGUAGAUGGUAAAAUUAAUCAAUAGGUACUCUUUAAAAUGUUACUCUCUUGGCACUGCAGCCCCAUGUGUCUUAAAAUUCUCAAGGGAUUCUAGCUGGGACCAUAGCUAUGACCUUACAAUCUUUUUCUUGAAACAAACUGAAUUUAAGCACUGAAUGGAAUUUAAAUGGAAA
rnacentral:lncRNA from 1 species